rnacentral:rRNA from 1 species
UACGAAGGGGGCUAGCGUUGCUCGGAAUCACUGGGCGUAAAGCGCACGUAGGCGGCUUGUUAAGUCAGGGGUGAAAUCCUGGAGCUCAACUCCAGAACUGCCUUUGAUACUGGCGAGCUUGAGUUCGGGAGAGGUGAGUGGAACUGCGAGUGUAGAGGUGAAAUUCGUAGAUAUUCGCAAGAACACCAGUGGCGAAGGCGGCUCACUGGCCCGAUACUGACGCUGAGGUGCGAAAGCGUGGGGAGCAAAGUAGGG